UAUUUAAUAUAAAUGGGAGUCGGUUUAUGGAGGAUAGGAAAUAAUAUAAAUAAUAAUCAUAGGGAGGGGGAUGAGUUUAGCGAGGAGGGAGUCAGAGAGUAAAAAAAAAACAAAGGAACUUUUGGAAGAAAAAGAAAAGCGAGAGGGUUGGAAUUGAGAAGAAAUUCACGUAUAUUUUCGGUUUCGGGAUUGAUGGCUAUGGAACAGGAGAUGGAAUCAAAAACUCGGUUAGAUUACAUGUUUCAAUCAGGAAUAAGAUAUCAGUGAAUUUAUUCGUUGUCAUACGUCGUAGGAACUGCACAUGUUAUCAGAAAGAUAUGUUCGAAGCAUACUUCAUAGAGAAGAAAUUGCUAGAUCUUUCAAAAAAUAUAAACAAGUCUUCAUUCAACUUUCUGAAUUUAGAAUGGGCGACAACCACAAACAUAAAGGACUGCGGUGUCUAUUUGAUAAGGCACAUGGAGACCUAUGUUGGGAAAAAUGGCAGUGAUUGGGAUAUCGGCUUCUCUGCGCGUAGUCUGAAGAUUAUCCAAGUACUCAGGGGAAGGUAUUGCUGCACGAUGAUUGCAUCAAUUUACAAUAACCAGAGAUCACCAAUGUUACAAUUGGCUCAUGAUUGGAUGGAAGCAAACAUGGACAAACUGCUUAAGCUAAACAACAAAUACAAGAAAUUGUUUAGUUGUAGAAAGAGGAAGUGAACAAAAACUAAUUUUAAUGUUUGAUGUUAACUUAUUUUU